rnacentral:rRNA from 1 species
GAUGAACGCUGGCGGCGUGCCUAAUACAUGCAAGUCGAGCGAACAGACGAGGAGCUUGCUCCUCUGACGUUAGCGGCGGACGGGUGAGUAACACGUGGAUAACCUACCUAUAAGACUGGGAUAACUUCGGGAAACCGGAGCUAAUACCGGAUAAUAUAUUGAACCGCAUGGUUCAAUAGUGAAAGACGGUUUUGCUGUCACUUAUAGAUGGAUCCGCGCCGCAUUAGCUAGUUGGUAAGGUAACGGCUUACCAAGGCAACGAUGCGUAGCCGACCUGAGAGGGUGAUCGGUCACACUGGAACUGAGACACGGUCCAGACUCCUACGGGAGGCAGCAGUAGGGAAUCUUCCGCAAUGGGCGAAAGCCUGACGGAGCAACGCCGCGUGAGUGAUGAAGGUCUUCGGAUCGUAAAACUCUGUUAUUAGGGAAGAACAAAUGUGUAAGUAACUAUGCACGUCUUGACGGUACCUAAGCAGAAAGCCACGGCUAACUACGU